rnacentral:rRNA from 1 species
GCUAGCGUUGCUCGGAAUCACUGGGCGUAAAGCGCACGUAGGCGGCUUUCUAAGUCAGGGGUGAAAUCCUGGAGCUCAACUCCAGAACUGCCUUUGAUACUGGAGAGCUUGAGUCCGGAAGAGGUGAGUGGAACUCCGAGUGUAGAGGUGAAAUUCGUAGAUAUUCGGAAGAACACCAGUGGCGAAGGCGGCUCACUGGUCCGGUACUGACGCUGAUGUGCGAAAGCGUGGGGAGCAAACAGG